rnacentral:rRNA from 1 species
UCUGGAAACUNUCUGACUUGAGUGCAGAAGGGGAGAGUGGAAUUCCAUGUGUAGCGGUGAAAUGCGUAGAUAUAUGGAGGAACACCAGUGGCGAAAGCGGCUCUCUGGUCUGUCACUGACGCUGAGGCUCGAAAGCGUGGGUAGCGAACAGGAUUAGAUACCCUGGUAGUNCACGCCGUAAACGAUGAGUGCUAGGUGUUAGGCCCUUUCCGGGGCUUAGUGCCGGAGCUAACGCAACAAGCACUCCGCCUGGGGAGUACGACCGCAAGGUUGAAACUCAAAGGAAUUGACGGGGGCCCGCACAAGCGGUGGAGCAUGUGGUUUAAUUCGAAGCAACGCGAAGAACCUUACCAGGUCUUGACAUCCCGAUGCUAUUCUUAGAGAUAGGAAGUUACUUCGGUACAUCGGAGACAGGUGGUGCAUGGUUGUCGUCAGCUCGUGUCGUGAGAUGUUGGGUUAAGUCCCGCAACGAGCGCAACCCUUAUUGUUAGUUGCCAUCAUUAAGUUGGGCACUCUAGCGAGACUGCCGGUAAUAAACCGGAGGAAGGUGGGGAUGACGUCAAAUCAUCAUGCCCCUUAUGACCUGGGCUACACACGUGCUACAAUGGUCGGUACAACGAGUUGCGAGCCGGUGACGGCAAGCUAAUCUCUGAAAGCCGAUCUCAGUUCGGAUUGGAGGCUGCAACUCGCCUCCAUGAAGUCGGAAUCGCUAGUAAUCGCGGAUCAGCACGCCGCGGUGAAUACGUUCCCGGGCCUUGUACACACCGCCCGUCACACCACGAGAGUUUGUAACACCCGAANU